rnacentral:lncRNA from 1 species
AAACUUGCCAAAUUUGGAAACUUUGAAUUAUAGGUCAUUUUCCAUUUUUAGUAACUUUUGCCAUGACCUUUGAAUCUUCAAGAUGGAUGUUUAGAAUGAUGAAUAGCCCCCAAUUGAACAUGAUUGAGGUGUCUCAACUCAUUUCCCCACCUCAUAGCCCUCAGUUGACUGCACAGUUGACUUUUGGUCCUCAGAUGACCUUGAAAUGUCCUGAUUAACUUGAGCCUCUACCACUUGGUGAAAUUGCUUCAAAAUGAAACCCUAGCUCAUGUAAGCUCCUUAUAAUAAUCAUGUGAUCCUCAUCCCAUUUCAAAAUGAAACCCUAGCUCAUGUAAGCUCCUUAUAAUAAUCAUGUGAUCCUCAUCCCAAGAAAAUACCUCAUCUCUUGCACAAAGGAUCUUCUUGAAGCUCUUGAC